rnacentral:misc_RNA from 1 species
AACGCACGAGACCUGCGGACCUGCGGAGGGAUCAUUAACGAGAAGCUGCCCCUCGUGGGUAGACCUCCCACCCUCUGUGAACUUACCUUUGUUGCUUUGGCAGGCCCGUCCUCUGGACCGCCGGCUUCGGCUGGCCCGUGCCUGCCAGAGGAUUCCAAACCCUGUCUGUCAGUGUUGUCUGAGUCUAUAUGAAAUCGUUAAAACUUUCAGCAAUGGAUCUCUAGAUCGGAAGAGCACACG